rnacentral:lncRNA from 1 species
UAAGCACAAAAUUAAAAGUUGAGAGUUGAAAAGACCUGACCAAUGGGUUGCAAUCCAAUAGACAAGAAUGUCAUAUAGAAACCCAAAUUUCCAUUGGACUUUAGAAUCACACAAUAAUCAAUACACAAAUAGCAAGUUGAAGAGUAAGGCAUCAAAUAAAGAUAGCCAUGUCCAAGCUUAGCAACUCCAUGAUCUUCUUCAAGAUUUCCCAUGUAUCAGAUGACUCC